rnacentral:rRNA from 1 species
CCUACGGGAGGCAGCAGUGGGGAAUAUUGGACAAUGGGCGAAAGCCUGAUCCAGCAAUGCCGCGUGAGUGAUGAAGGCCUUAGGGUUGUAAAGCUCUUUUACCAGGGAUGAUAAUGACAGUACCUGGAGAAUAAGCUCCGGCUAACUCCGUGCCAGCAGCCGCGGUAAUACGGAGGGAGCUAGCGUUGUUCGGAAUUACUGGGCGUAAAGCGUACGUAGGCGGUUAUUCAAGUCAGAGGUGAAAGCCCGGGGCUCAACCCCGGAACUGCCUUUGAAACUAGAUAGCUAGAAUCUUGGAGAGGUUAGUGGAAUUCCGAGUGUAGAGGUGAAAUUCGUAGAUAUUCGGAAGAACACCAGUGGCGAAGGCGACUAACUGGACAAGUAUUGACGCUGAGGUACGAAAGCGUGGGGAGCAAACAGGAUUAGAUACCCUGGUAGUCCACGCCGUAAACGAUGAUAACUAGUUGUUCGGGCACUUGGUGCCUGAGUGACGCAGCUAACGCAUUAAGUUAUCCGCCUGGGGAGUACGGUCGCAAGNUUAAAACUCAAAUGAAUUGACGG